CUCGAGCUCCUGGCCUCAAGUGAUCCACCCACCUUGGCCUCCCAAAGUGCUAUGAGUCUUUUUCCUUUGCCAAUUUCAAUAUGUAUCCUUCCACUGUAAUAUACUAUACAACCAUGAGUAUAACCUUUUUUUUUUUUUUUUGAGUUCUAGGAGUCUUUCUAGGAAAUCAUCAAACCUGAGUGUGGUCUUGGAGACCCUAACACAGAUAAGGAAUUCGUCUCGUCAAGUUGGAUGUUCAUAAUGUCUUCUCACAUUUCAAUCAGGUUCCACACCCAUGAAACUGGCCCUGCGUGUACCAUUCAUACUCCCGUCAAGAAAAAUUUGCCAUUCAGUUCAAGAAAUGCAGUUAAUUGACAGUCUUCGGUUGCAGCCUGUUUAGGAUUCAUUUCAGCUUUUGAGCCAACGCCAAGCUUGUCCCAGCCAGGUCUCAGCCAACGAUGAAGUGUAUGUAGUGGGAAUCCUAUGACUGGGCCAUUUCUGCCCUUCCAGGUCUCUUCUGUUGAGCAGUCUUUGCUCCAGAGUGCCCUGUUGAUUUGACUGAGCCAUAGUCAGAUCGGCAUCCUGGUCUGAAGUUCUCCUUGCCUAAUCCCGCUUCCAUCUACCUUUCCAUUCUUGGACGUCUUCUCUGUUUGACACUCUGAAGGCUUUCCUAGCCCAAUCCUGUUUCCACUCCCUCCAUGGUUCACGGCAUUACCCUCCAAUAAACCUCGUGUAUCCCCAACUCCAUCUCAGUGUCUACUUCCCAGAGGACCCAACAGACACAGCAUCUUGAUUUUACAUUGUAUAAGAUAAUGCAAUUCACCUUCUUAUAUCACCUUCUAACUGUCUUCCUUCCCUAAGCCCCUGCCAUCACUUUCUGAUUUCUGAUUCUUUCUACUAUACCAUGAUUUCUA
rnacentral:lncRNA from 1 species